rnacentral:rRNA from 1 species
UACGUAGGGUGCAAGCGUUGUCCGGAUUUAUUGGGCGUAAAGAGCGUGUAGGCGGCUUGGCAAGUCCGCUGUGAAAACUCGAGGCUUAACCUCGAGCCUGCAGUGGAUACGGGCAGACUAGAGGUAGGUAGGGGAGAACGGAAUUCCUGGUGUAGCGGUGAAAUGCGCAGAUAUCAGGAGGAACACCGGUGGCGAAGGCGGUUCUCUGGGCAUGUCCUGACGCUGAGGAGCGAAAGUGUGGGGAGCGAACAGG